AUUUCAUGAGUGAAGAUGUUCAUGUCGAAAUCGGUGAUUUUGUGUUUCGUGUAUAGUAUUCAACCAAUCGAAUUCAUAAAUAAGAAAACAUCGACGAAAUUAAUUGUUUCGUGACACCUACAUUAUAUGUAAACAAGUUGACAGCAAUUUCUUCAUGCAUUUAAUAAAGGACAAUGAACCCUGAAGAAGCGCCCUGGAAACAACCUAAGGAUUGGUAUCAUUCUUAUUACAAUAUGAGAAUAUGCGGGUAUGUGGACAUGGCGUGUUGCGUUGUGACGACGAUCUCCAGCAUUUUGAUCAUCAUAGUGUUCACAAGAAAAAGUAUGGUAUCACCUAUGAACACGAUCUUCAUUCACAUUGCCAUCACCGAAUCACUAACCCUUCUUAGCUUCUUACCUCGCUCAUGGCACGAAUAUUUUCGAGUGAAGCGAUGUUCAAUCCAUAUUCACAGAACAUACGAAUGGGAGAAUUUCGCUUAUUAUUCAUACGCGCUCGCAUUUGCAUUUCGCCACAUGGUAAUUUGGCUUACGGUGAUGCUGGGAGUAUGGCGAUACAUAGCAGUCGUACAUCCGCUGAAAAAGACGCAAUGGUGCGAAAUGCGCAUAACGAGAAAAUGGAUAAUGGGAGCAUAUAUUUUUGGAUUUGUGAUCACGAUACCACCUUUAUUUUCGAUAGCGGUUCAACCAUCUCGCAUACUACUCGAUGAAGAAGGGUGUUUACCUUCGAAUUCAACCAUUGGCCAUAAAACCAUUAACGCCACCAUAUACGAAUUCAGCGUUCCACUUGAGAAAUAUCCUUUUUUAUACUCAUUCUUCGUGAUCAGCUACGCGAUUUUAAUAAAAACUCUGCCCGCAAUUGUUCUAUCUGUGAUCAGCUGCAAGUUAAUCUUCACCCUAAUCAAAGCACGAAAAAGCCGAGCAAUGAUGGUAGCAAAUUUGAAUCGAAAGCACAUGCAAAAACAAAUGGAUCGAACGACAAUAAUUUUGGUACUCAUAUUGGUAUUAUUCAUAGCAACAGAAAUUAUUCACGGAAUAUUCGGCACAUUAACAGGAAUCUUAGGUCCGAAAUUUUUUUGGGGGCACUACUAUUACACAAUGGAGAUAGCAAAUACAUUUGCGCAUGUUUCCCAGAGUUUGAAUUUUGUGUUCUAUUAUGUGAUGAGCGACCAAUUCAGGAAAACUUUCAAAGCAUUAUUCAGACGAAAUAGCGAUACUCGUAGAUCGUCACACGAUGGACAUCAUAUCGGCCCAGCUCCUCAAACAGUUACCACUGAAGUAGAUAGUCUCGGAACUUAAACUUUCUGAUAUCAUAUUCAUAAAGUACUGCAGCAAUCAGUUUCAAUCACACCCGAUCGUAAUAAUUAUAGGUACCUAAUACAUAUUAUAAGUUCAUAAGUUAAAUUAAGUACACCAAUGAAGUAAAUGAACGCAAUAAUAUUGUACUCUCAUA